CUCGUUGUCCUGUUGCAAUGUGAACCUUCGCCCCAGUCUGAGGUCCUGAGCUCCGGUUUUUAUCCAGGACCUCACUGUACUUUUCUCCAUUCAUCUUUCCCUCAAUCCUGACUAGUCUCCCAGGUAAAAUGCUGCUUAAAUGUUUCUGUGUCCAUAUCAACCUCUGUCCCAAAGCAAUAUGAAUGUCUAGUUUUAAAUUUGGUACUUGGUAAUAAUGCUCGUUUAACUCUAAGAGGGGUAUAUCGCCCCCCCUCAGCUCCUCCUUGUACUCUAUGCAAAUUAUCUGAUAUACUGUCUAAUUAUGCAAACUCUGAAUUACUGAUUUUGGGAGAUUUUAACCUGGAUUGGCUUUCACCAGUAUCCGAUAAAUUAAAAGACAUUUGUACUGAGCUAAAUCUAACUCAGCUGAUAACUAAACCAACCCGUCCCAACUUUAAGAACCCAGUAAAAUCUACUCUACUAGACAUUAUUCUAACAAACACCCCCCAUAAAUACACAGCCAGUGGGGUUUUUGCAAAUGAUAUCAGUGACCACUGCCCUAUUGCUUGUAUUAGAGAUACCAGGCUGAAACACUCUGAUCCCUGUAUAAUCUCUAAGAGAAAUUAUAAACAUUUCUCACAGCAAGCUUUUACCCUUGACUUAUAUCACUCUGAGUUUUUAUCCACUUGCUGCUUUCUGGACCCGGUUUUAGCCCUUGCUUUUUUCUCUUCUAUUGUUACCUCUAUGUCUGAUAAACAUGCCCCGCUUAAGAAUCACAGAGUAAGAAACCGAACCAGUUCUUGGUUCUCUCCUGAAUUGUCAGGUCUUUUCCUGCAAAAGAAUCGGGCCUGGGCCUUGGCGAGGAAAACAGGUACUCCAGCUGAUUGGCUGUUUUUUAGGCAAUUGAGAAAUAAAUGUACUGCAGCUGUCAAAAAGGCAAAAUCAAAUUACUUCCUUAAUGCUAUGACAGAUUCUGCAGGAGAUCCUGCAAAAUUCUGUAAAACCGUUAAUUCACUGAAACGGGGGAAUUCUUCUGUUUCUCUUCCUAAGCAAAUUACCUCAGAUUCCUGUAUCCUAAGUGAAAAAAAAUGAUAUUUGUGAUGCUUUUAAUAAGCAUAUCAUCUCUGCUGGUUUUUUAUUUGAAAGGAAAAGUGGCCAUUGUGGUACUGGCCAGUUAGUUGAUUUUUCGUCUUGCUUUUCAACCGUUACUCUGAAAAAUGGUAACCCUGUUUUUAGUUUCCAGAAAAUAACCGAAGCAGAGGUUCUAGCUGCCCUGUGUGCCAUUGAUACUAAGAAAUCCUUAGGCGCUGACAAUUUAGACCCGUUCUUACUUAAGUGUGCUGCACCUAUCAUUGCUGGUUCAGUGACACACAUUUUUAAUCUAACAUUAAGCACAGGAAUUAUCCCUAAGGUGUGGAAAGCAGCUUUUGUUCUGCCAUUACA
rnacentral:lncRNA from 8 species